GUCAUUUGUGCCAGUCCCUCUCAGUAAAGGUAACACAACAGACAAUCAGGGUGUAUGCUGCAAAUUGCACAGAACAUUUCCACGAGCCUUGAACAAUUUUGCUUCAGAUCUAGGAACAAAACUCUAGAAGGGGUCAAAUGUUUGAUUUCAACUGAUAAGCUGCUCCUGCCAGCCACUGUUCGAAGAGUCUUCUUAGAGGGAACAAUUAAUACUCAGCACCCACUGUUGGCAUAAGAAAACAUAUUUGCGGCAGAAUUACACCUGCAGGGCCACAUGUUACUUAUCAGCAAGUCAUAUUCAAAACUGUGCACUGGUAUAAAAAUUGUUAUGGUUCUGUAUGAUUAUUUCUUUCAUUCUCUCUCUUCAUGUAUUUUUAUGGUGUCUAAAUAUAUUUCACCAAUACACAUAAAUA